rnacentral:lncRNA from 1 species
GGAGGCAGAGGCAGGCGGAUUUCUGAGUUCGAGGCCAGCCUGGUCUACAAAGUGAGUUCCAGGACAGCCAGGGCUAUACAGAGAAACCCUGUCUCGAAAAACCAAAAAAAAAAAAAAUAAUAAUAAUUAAUAAUAAUAAUAAUGUUUGCUAGUCUGAACUUCUCAUUAAAGAGUGGGUGUGAGGAGGAGGGUCAUCAAGUUAAGGUUUCAGGUCCUGCAAUAUGGCUCUGCCAGUAGUUUAUGCAGAGAGAGACUAAAAGAAUGUCCCCAAGACCCAAAGGAAAACCUCACCGUGAACGUUGAGAAGUUGACUCCGAACCAUAGUAAGGCUUGAACGCACCUUUUUCUUUUGUUUUUGAGGUAGUCUCAACGAUUUUAAGCUUUGGCAGGCCUGGAACUCAUUACAUAGACCAAGUUAGUCUUAAAUUCACAGAGACCCACCUUCCUGGUGUGUACGCAGGAGCCCCUGCGUGUGUGGGCGGAGGCCAGGCGUGGACACGAGUGGCUCCUAGAACUCUCCUUCCACCUUGUGCUUUGAGAUGCUUAGUUGGCCAGUGAACUCCAGAGUUCGUCUCUGCUCUGCUCCCCACACUCAGGUUACAGACACAAGUAGCCACAUCCAUCAUCAUAUGGGUCCGGGGAUUCGAACUCAGAUCAUCCUGCUUGCAUGAUAGGCAUUUUGUUGCUGAGCCACUCUCUAGAUCUCUAACUGCAAUUUAAAAUGACUAUUUUUCUUUUUUUAACAUUUUAGUAAAACAAAUGAAAAACCGUUUGUUUGGAUGUUAUCUAUUUUGUAACUGUCCAUUGCAUUUAUUAAAGAUGGGGGAUCAGGUAAAAAAUGGUAGGUUAGCAAAAAGUAUUAAAAGUGAAUAAGAGAUAGAGUGGUUCUGUGGGCCGAGAAGACAGCCGCGGCAUAUUUUCAGAUCCCACCAGACACAGCUACUUCCUCGAGAAGUAAGGAAUACGUUUCAAACAGGAACAACAGGCAGGGUUUUUCGAUUACAUCAUUAUUUAAGUAAUCAAGAGCAGGAUCAGGCAGAUGGUGGUAGGAGAUAGGGGUUUCCUGCCCAUUUGCCAGGAAAUGAUGAUGUUGACAAAGAGCACUGCCACAAACUGUCAUCAGGCCAAACGGUAAGUGGCGUGGGUCAGGAGAACUUGAAAUGCCCUAAAAUGCUUUGGUUCUGAGAAAGAAAGAAAAAAACAAACUUUGUAAAAAUCUGAUGAUCCUGAAAAUGUUUCCUUACCCUGUUCAGCCAUGACUUUGAAGGCUGCCCCAGUUUUCCAGAAUUGCAGGGUGCAUAAUUGCACAUGACUUCCUGGGCUUGAUACCGAGGGUGUUACAAUGUCCUCGCUCUCUGAGGAACCAAAGUUCUCAGCCAGCAGUACCAGAAGGAGGGGACAUUCUUAAGAGAUGAUCUGGCAGUCACUUAAAAGAUAGUGUGGGGCCAGCAAGAUGGAUCAGAGGGUAAAGGGGCUUGCUGCAUGGGCCUGCAGAUGUAAAUUCAGUACCCAGAGUCCAUGGUGGAAAGAGAAAAACAGCUCCUGGGAGUUGUCCUCUGACCUCCUGUGUGUGCCACUGAUAAAAAUAAACAAAAUAGUUAUAAAAGAUAAAGUGUGUAAGCUAAGUAUACUGACCUACUGGUGAUCCCACCGUGUGAAACAGACAGGGGGUCAUAAGUUCAAGACUAGCCUGGGUGACACAGUUUGACCCUGUUUU